rnacentral:rRNA from 1 species
UACGAAGGGGGCUAGCGUUGCUCGGAAUCACUGGGCGUAAAGGGUGCGUAGGCGGGUCUUUAAGUCAGGGGUGAAAUCCUGGAGCUCAACUCCAGAACUGCCUUUGAUACUGGCGUGCUUGAGGACUGGAGAGGAGACUGGAAUUUACGGUGUAGCAGUGAAAUGCGUAGAUAUCGUAAGGAAGACCAGUGGCGAAGGCGGGUCUCUGGACAGUUCCUGACACUGAGGCACGAAGGCCAGGGGAGCAAACGGG